UGGUGGAGUGAUUUGUCUGGUUAAUUCCGAUAACGAACGAGACCUUAACCUACUAACUAGAAGUAGGAGCUACUGCUUCUACUCGCUUCUUAGAGGGACUGUGUGGUAAAACCUCAAGGAAGUUUAAGGCAAUAACA
rnacentral:rRNA from 1 species